AUUAGAAUAUAUAGUUAUAUUUAUAUAUAUAUAUAUCAUAAAUAGUUUGUGUAUUGUCGUUACUUUCUGUUUUUAUGUUAAGAUACUUGUUUGGUCAUUUUUCUUUCAUGUUAUGUUUUGAUCAAUGACAUCUUAAACUAUCGGGUUUUAGUUUUUAGAAUUAGUUUGAUAACAUUUAGUUGACUGGUGAUAACAACAAUAGUUAUGUGUGGUAUUUGGAACUUGUUUUGAAAGGAUGUUACAUAAAAACUUUGAAUAUCUGAUAUGAUUAUAUAGUUUACAAUUUUUUUUAAUAUUUAUAUUUAUCAAAGCGGAUAUCCCCAAAUAUCACAAAAAAAUCCAGAUAUCCGAAAAUUUUCGAACCAAAGCAAAUUACAAAAUCAAGUAUUCGGUUAAAACGAAUCGAAUAACAAAUAUCAUAAUUUUUUCGAAUAUCCGUUCCGUGUCCAGGCCUACUUUUACGGAUAAUAACAGAGAACAUAACAGGGUGGUGUGGUUCAUUAA
rnacentral:sRNA from 1 species